GUUGUACAAGGGGAUGCACAAUCUCUAUUUGGUUGCGGGAAAUAUGUUUUAUUUUCUAAAUUAAGAAAUGACCGAAAACUUUUAAUGUAUCCCGUGUUUCAGACUGUAUCAGCAGACACUUUUAGAUGAGGAUGCUUUCGCCGACAGAGCCGACGAUCAUAUGUUUGAUCGGGAUGGUGUUAUGUCAUUUCUCCGACUGCUUUACAAACUAGCAGGUAAACUUGAAAAAAAAAAAAACAAGAAAAACAAGCCGUGGCAGAAAGCUUCACCUUUAUAACGACAUUUGACCGAAAAGACCCGAAAGCGUAUUUUCUUACCACUUUUAUCCGUAUUUAUUCGCUUAUGUUCUGUUUUUGCUUUUCGAUGUUUUAUUUGCUCUGUUUGGAUAAAUUGGAUUGGAUUAAAAAGCCAAAGGACCUUGUUGGUGGCUUUGCUUUGGAAAUAGUGCCGACUAUACAUAACUUGUGGUCUGAAUACGAAAAAUCUCUUUAAUGCUAAGAAAUAACUGUAUUUGCUUCCUGUUUACGCCGACGAAAGCAACCUGAGGAGUUCAUACUAAGUUUGUGUGCGAUCCGAUAAACCAGCUGCAGCUCGAGCUCACAGCUGUUCAGUAAAUUAGUGUAUCAAGCUGACACUAUUUCGUUUGGAAAAUAAAACAAAAUGCGAUAGACACGGGAAAGCAGUUCAUUCAGUUAAAUUGGAUCGGGUAUUUUGGCGUGAGGCCUGCUGGUCGGGCUUUUGCCGGGUGAGAUUUGGGGGUUAGGCCGCGUCAGGUCGCGUUCAGCCCGGCCGUGAGUAACGAGCAGUCCCGGCGCCAGAGGACGAGCUAUGGAGAGGAUGGAGGUGGACCAGUGCGCAUGCGCAGGAGGAGCCCUCCGAAGGUCGAACAGCGCCCCCAUGAUCACGAACGUCAGCGACGGGACGACAGUAUUCAGCUCUAAUAGUUCGGCUCGGUAUCGUCGGAGCAGCGUUUCUGUAAACCCGAGCUGUCCCUCCCGGGUGAGUGUUCAGGUGGUCUGUGAAUAUCAGUUUUGGGCAUUUAGUUUUCCAAAAACUUCGAAGAACCUUCAGCAAUUCGUUUGUGUUACAGACCCUUCCUCUGUCCCCAUUCUCCCUGUCAUGUGAGAGAUCCGAACACAAGAGACAGGUGAGAACUAAAGAAUCGAUUCUGUGAUGCUUUUAAA
rnacentral:lncRNA from 1 species